GAUAACUGGCUUGUGGCGGCCAAGCGUUCAUAGCGACGUCGCUUUUUGAUCCUUCAGUGUUGGCUCUUCCUAUCAUUGUGAAGCAGAACUCACCAAGCAAUGGAUUGUUCACCUACUAAUAGGGGACAUGAACCGGGUUUAGACCGUUGUGAGAGAUGUU
rnacentral:ncRNA from 1 species